rnacentral:precursor_RNA from 1 species
AAACCACCAAGGGUCGCCGCAACCGCCACGGCGCGUGGCGAGAGGAACACGACGCCGUCCAUCGUUUAGCCCCGCGGGCACGCGCGUCCUCGCGCUCGACUGCAUGUAUGAAGCCAAAACAACUCUCGCCACUUGUGCCAAAAAGCCCUGCGUCCUACAGGCACUUAGCCCUUGUUUUCCUCCUGCUUCUAGGCACAAAAGCACGAAAUCUGCCGUCACCUGAGUUCAUCCGUGCAUAUUGCCCCUGAUGCAACUCCCCCUGACCCCCUCUAUAAAUUGGCUAAGCUACUGCUAGUCGAUAGUACAUUGAGCUUGCGAUCGACGUAUAUAUAUGUUGGUGUACUUGUGCAGGGUGGAGAAGCAGGGCACGUGAGCGGCCAUCCAGUGUAGCUUCGCUGCGCGUCCAUGGCGGCGAACGCGCGUGAUCUGGAGUUUGGAUGGUCGUUCAUGUGUCCGUCUUCUCCACCGAGCACUGGCAUAUCCAAGACCGAGACGGCGAGACUCCGAGAGACAUUGGUCGAGCGAGCGCGCGCGCCACCGUAUCCUGCACUGUCU